rnacentral:misc_RNA from 1 species
GAUGAAGAACGUAGCGAAAUGCGAUAAGUAGUGUGAAUUGCAGAAUUCAGUGAAUCGUCGAAUCUUUGAACGCACAUUGCGCCCCAUGGUAUUCCGUGGGGCAUGCCUGUUCGAGCGUCAUUUACCCCCUCAAGCUCCGCUUGGUGUUGGGCGUCUGUCCCGCUUCGCGCGCGGACUCGCCCCAAAGGUAUUGGCAGCGGUCGUGCCAGCUUCUCGCGCAGCACAUUGCGCUUCUCGAGGCACCGGUGGGCCCGCGUCCAUCAAGCUCACCCCCCCAGUUUGACCACGGAUCAGGUAGGGAUACCCGCUGAACUUAAGCAUAUCAAUAAGCGGAGGA